UGGUGAUGAUGGCGAAGAGGUCACACCCGUUCCCAUACCGAACACGGAAGUUAAGCUCUUCAGCGCCGAUGGUAGUUGGGGGUCUCCCCCUGUGAGAGUAGGACAUCGCCAGGC
rnacentral:rRNA from 1 species